UACGUAGGUGGCAAGCGUUGUCCGGAAUUAUUGGGCGUAAAGCGCGCGCAGGCGGUCCUUUAAGUCUGAUGUGAAAGCCCACGGCUCAACCGUGGAAGGUCAUUGGAAACUGGAGGACUUGAGUACAGAAGAGGAAAGCGGAAUUCCACGUGUAGCGGUGAAAUGCGUAGAUAUCUGGAGGAAUACCGGUGGCGAAGGCGGCAUCCUGGACCGACAUUGACGCUGAGGUGCGAAAGCGUGGGGAGCAAACAGG
rnacentral:rRNA from 1 species